rnacentral:rRNA from 2 species
CUGGAGGUAUCAGAAGUGCGAAUGCUGACAUAAGUAACGAUAAAGCGGGUGAAAAGCCCGCUCGCCGGAAGACCAAGGGUUCCUGUCCAACGUUAAUCGGGGCAGGGUGAGUCGACCCCUAAGGCGAGGCCGAAAGGCGUAGUCGAUGGGAAACAGGUUAAUAUUCCUGUACUUGGUGUUACUGCGAAGGGGGGACGGAGAAGGCUAUGUUGGCCGGGCGACGGUUGUCCCGGUUUAAGCGUGUAGGCUGGUUUUCCAGGCAAAUCCGGAAAAUCAAGGCUGAGGCGUGAUGACGAGGCACUACGGUGCUGAAGCAACAAAUGCCCUGCUUCCAGGAAAAGCCUCUAAGCAUCAGGUAACAUCAAAUCGUACCCCAAACCGACACAGGUGGUCAGGUAGAGAAUACCAAGGCGCUUGAGAGAACUCGGGUGAAGGAACUAGGCAAAAUGGUGCCGUAACUUCGGGAGAAGGCACGCUGAUAUGUAGGUGAAGUCCCUUGCGGAUGGAGCUGAAAUCAGUCGAAGAUACCAGCUGGCUGCAACUGUUUAUUAAAAACACAGCACUGUGCAAACACGAAAGUGGACGUAUACGGUGUGACGCCUGCCCGGUGCCGGAAGGUUAAUUGAUGGGGUCAGCGCAAGCGAAGCUCUUGAUCGAAGCCCCGGUAAACGGCGGCCGUAACUAUAACGGUCCUAAGGUAGCGAAAUUCCUUGUCGGGUAAGUUCCGACCUGCACGAAUGGCGUAAUGAUGGCCAGGCUGUCUCCACCCGAGACUCAGUGAAAUUGAACUCGCUGUGAAGAUGCAGUGUACCCGCGGCAAGACGGAAAGACCCCGUGAACCUUUACUAUAGCUUGACACUGAACAUUGAGCCUUGAUGUGUAGGAUAGGUGGGAGGCUUGGAAGUGUGGACGCCAGUCUGCAUGGAGCCGACCUUGAAAUACCACCCUUUAAUGUUUGAUGUUCUAACGUUGACCCGUAAUCCGGGUUGCGGACAGUGUCUGGUGGGUAGUUUGACUGGGGCGGUCUCCUCCUAAAGAGUAACGGAGGAGCACGAAGGUUGGCUAAUCCUGGUCGGACAUCAGGAGGUUAGUGCAAUGGCAUAAGCCAGCUUGACUGCGAGCGUGACGGCGCGAGCAGGUGCGAAAGCAGGUCAUAGUGAUCCGGUGGUUCUGAAUGGAAGGGCCAUCGCUCAACGGAUAAAAGGUACUCCGGGGAUAACAGGCUGAUACCGCCCAAGAGUUCAUAUCGACGGCGGUGUUUGGCACCUCGAUGUCGGCUCAUCACAUCCUGGGGCUGAAGUAGGUCCCAAGGGUAUGGCUGUUCGCCAUUUAAAGUGGUACGCGAGCUGGGUUUAGAACGUCGUGAGACAGUUCGGUCCCUAUCUGCCGUGGGCGCUGGAGAACUGAGGGGGGCUGCUCCUAGUACGAGAGGACCGGAGUGGACGCAUCACUGGUGUUCGGGUUGUCAUGCCAAUGGCACUGCCCGGUAGCUAAAUGCGGAAGAGAUAAGUGCUGAAAGCAUCUAAGCACGAAACUUGCC